UCUGGAAGAACAAAUUACAAGCUCAAGGGGAGUGCACAAAUACACGUGAUGGGGAAUCAAAAGAAGAAUUUGCACCAAUAAAAACUCAAAGUUUCUUCUAUUCUGGGACAAAAUGGAAGGACUUCCGUCCAGAGAUUACAAGUGGUACUGGAACAGAGAAUAUUUAGAAUCGGGAUAGUGUACUCAAUGUCACUUCUGGCUUCUUGCAUUUUGUUGGUGAUUCAUUGGUUCCUGAUACCAUAGACUAAAACUUGCUGGAGAUUGCCAAAGUUCUCCAACAGGUUGAUAUGAAGUUUAUUCCAAUUGUGGCGAACACAACACUUGCUAUAAUUGAUCAGCAUGUGCAGAAUCAAGCGAAUUCAAGAACCAUAUAAGCUACCGGCGCAUAUUAGAGUACUCCACCAUUGCUGCUCUUAACUGUUCCGGUGACCAUGUCCAAUCAAAACCCUAACCCUCAAAUCAAUUUUCCCGCCGAUCUGUCUAUUGGUAUCUAUUGCUAUAGGCAUUGAGAGGCGAUGAUGAUUUUUGCCAACUUUAUUCCCUUCUGAGUUGAUUAUUCGGGUAUUUGAGAUUAUCCGACCCAUAUCUUGGCGGGGCAUGCCACCAGAUUUUCUGGUGAUUUUUGCAGCCAUGGCGUUGUUGGACUCUCUUUUUGCCUGAGCUUAACACAGAUUUGAACCUAACUUUCUCUGUCAGUUUAGGGAAACUAACGGUUGGGAAAAUGAACAAAGCAAAAGCUCAAAAGGGAAAGAAUGAGGCUACAGAGAGUUGAUGAUUUUUCAUUGAAUGGGUGAUUGCUUCUCUCUGUAUUCAGCCAAUGAUUUCUGCAUUACUGUAGGAAUCCCAACUAUCCUUCUAUCAAUUUUAUUGGAGGGAGUAUAUUUUUAACAGCUUGCUUGGAUUGUUGUUAUAUAUUGUUAAAGGGUUUCUAUGCCCUUCCACUCUUUUUUUUCUUUAUUUUAAUGCUUCCACCAGAGCAUUGAAUGUUGCCGGUGGAGCUGGUGGAAGCGAUGAGGGAUCUCGUGUCUCAUGAGAUGGACGGGUGCUGGGAGAAAUAUAUGCGACAUCAAAAUACUGCCAUUCAGAUGAUAUGCAUGCUUUCCCAGCAAGCUUUGGCCUUAAAGGAGAGGCUCUGAG